ACCCACCCCACAGAGAGGGAGAAACCCAGGGCUCCCUGUGGACUGGACCUCCCCCAGGUGACCUGAAGCUGCCCUGAUGGAGCACAAUGGAGGGAUACCACUUGUCUGUAACUUGUUCAGGAUCCCUUUGCCUCAGCACACACCAUGUAAACCCUGAUUCUUCUCCACACCCCUGCUUUGGGGAAGGCUGAAGAACUGGAGCAGAAGGAAAAAGAACUUGUUUUUAGCUCUUCAGGUGCCAUAACUCUGCAUCCCAGAGAGAAAACAAACACCUGCUUGAGAAGCAGUAUUGUUGGUCCCUGUGUAAGAAACAACCAGACGACCCUCCAGAUACAAACACCUUCUCUUCCCUGCAGCCAGCACCACCCUCACAGUUUGGAGCCACAGCCUACCAUGUAUGCAGACAAUAGGAAACAGCAAUGCCUUUGUGCUUCAGGGAGAAGAGGAGAAGGGCAGGAGAGUAAAUGUGGUCGUGACGAAACACAAACCAUGGUGCGUUACUUGCUGGGGAUGAGAAAGAAGUACCUGAGUUGGAAGGUGUCAGGUUCAUAGCAUCUGUGUGUGUUUAAACUGUUCAUCAAAAAGAUCUGUUGCUGGUUCUUGCAAUCUUUCAAAUUUAUGGUUAGAGCCUGAGUCUUGACUGAAGUUAGAAGCCUUGGUUCCCUUUAGGAACAGGGUGUACAUGUAUAUUUUGUCAGAGCUAUUGGUGACCAAGGAAAGAGUCCAGUAGUGAUGAGAACAAGGUAAAAAUUAUGUGAUUGUGAUUAUAGAGUAACCUUGGGUCACAGCUUAGGAUCUGUGGGUAGUUAGCCUUAGGGGUUAAUUAGUCAGAAUUAGGAAGUAAUUAUCUGUAGCCCAAAUAACAGAUCAUUCUUUCUAUAACUAAAGAUGGUCUAUGCCCUCUGGAAAUUAUAUAUUUGCGAAGCUAAAAUUGGUAUCUAUGGUCAAAUAACAAGAAAGUUGAGGUCCUUCCCUGUGACAGAGUAGGCUGAUGGCAGGGUGCAUCUGACUGACAUCCUGUCAGCAAAUAGGGAUAUAGCAUCUCACUGAUGUCAGGGUAAGAGAUGACUGACAUAGGCCUUUAUUUGUGGCUGGAGCUUAGGAAGUCCUUAUAUCAAGUCCCACAUAGGUUAAAAGUGAUUCUCCAAGUUAACAGCUUUUCCCAUGGAAGCAGGCCAGUGCCUAAGAGGAGUACAGGAUAUAGCUGCCUUUCAGUUAUUACUGCCAUCCUACAAACAGAAUUCUAAUUUAACCCAGGGAAGGGGGAAAGUCAUUUUCACAGACUAUUUCCUGGUCGUUUUUGCUGUUCAGAGUGAUCUUGUGGCACAGUGUAACUGAGCUCUUAAUGACAUUUUUCUGGAGGAAUACAAGAACACUUCUCCCCUGAUCCAUCCUUACUAAGUCUCAACCCCUUCUUUCGGUUCUUUGUUAGUGGUUGUAAUAAACAGAGAGCCUUGCUGCAAGGACUGUUCCACUGCGGGUAUUAUAUACUGAGCAAUCCAAAGGGGGAAAAAAACCCAGCAAGCAUCUGUGUUUCUCCAGUUUGAAAGAUGUGAGAUCUAAGAUCAAGUUGCCAGCAGACCCAGUGUCUGGAUGGAUCUUACUUCUUCACACAGAAAAUGCCUGACUCCAUCCUCACACAAGAAGCACGGGAGCCUCCAUCUGGCCACUUUUUCCAGGAACAUACGCCCACUUGCAAAGCAGAACCACAGUGGUCUGAUCACUUCCCAAAGGCCUUUGCAUCUAAACACCAUAGCUUUGAGAGUCAAACUUUCAACCUGAGAUUCCAGAGAAACGAGCAUCCAUGAAAAAUCAAACCUAGGCUGGAGUCUGGGGCAAAAUUGUGACCACACCAUAGUACACCUUCCAGACCAUCUUCCUAGGAGGCCUAAGCACCGAAGUCAACAUUUUGCUCCAUUUCUCCAACUAUAGCAACACCAGGAAAGGGGCCUGAGUAGCCCAUCCCCCACUGCACUUUGGAAUUUGGAAUAGUACAGUGCAAAGGAGACAGAGUACACGGAUGAUCUGUAAGAUUGGGAGGGUCACAAUGGCUGUGGUGGGAGCUCUGCAAGAGCUAGCACGUGAUGUACUCUGGAUUCUUAAUGUUCUUCAACCUUGCUUUUUAUUUUUUAAUAUUUAUUUAUGUACUUUGUUUUUCUUAUGUUUUUGUAGCAUGCCCUUUACUGAUAGAGCCAUUUCCCAGUGCCAAAUCUUUCCACUGUAACUGGCAACUAUAUCUAGCUAAUUACCAGGAAAUUCAAAUGAGGGAGGGAAUAUGAGAAAGACUGCUUUGUUUUUGAAAGAGCAAGGGUCUUUCAAAAGGCAAGAAGGAAGGAAGAAUCAGGUUCCGGAGGAGGAAGCAUUUCCUAAAGUUAGUUUGGAAGGUGUUGCAAACAGUUCAGUUCUGACAGCUUGAGGUAACCAGGACCAUGAUUGCUUCACAAAUAUCAUUGCUGUCUGUGAAUGCAGAUUAAGAUGCUGAAGAUCUUCAAGACAGAGUGUAGUUCACCAGAGGAAGAAAGAAAACUACAAAUUGACACCGGGACUUGAGCUGGAUAUCCAAAGUCCAUCUUCCUUAUUCUUUUGUGGAUAUGACAUGAGUAAAAGAAAACAACUCUCUCUCUUCUCUCUCCCUCUCUCUCUCUCUCUCUCUGUCUGUCUCUCGCCCUCUCUCUCUGUCUCUGUCUCUCUGUCUCUGUCUCUCUCUCUAUCUCUCUCUGUCUCUGUCUCUCUGUCUCUGUCUCUCUGUCUCUCUCUCUUUUUCUCUCUCUGUCUCUCGCCCUCUCUCUCUGUGUCUUUCUUUCCCUCUCCCCCUUCCUCACUCCCUUUCUUUCAUGUGUGUAUUAGGAGAAGAGGGCAAAGGGAAGGCAGGUCAGUCAGGAGAAGCCAAUGGCGAUAAUGCCUUAAUAGAUAGUCCUGAUGCCUAGCUGAGAGCUUUUCAGUUGAUUUGACAGUAAAGAAGAUCCAUUUUAACUCCUUGAACCAGGGCACAGACCAUAAAAAGUGUUGUUUGGGGAUGCUUAAUCUUGCGGGAAGAAUUGAAAGAUGAAAUCUCUAGGAGCAAAGCAGCCAAGCUUCAAGGAUCAGGGUCAGCCACAUUCCCUCCAUGGCCACAGAGGCAAGAGUAAGCAACUAGUUUCUUUGUCAGUUCUCCCUGAAGACGUGUCACCCAAGUAUAGGAAGGAGCUGAGGUCAUCUCCUUCAAUCAUUCACACUGACAAUUGUACCUCUAAAAGCAGUUUUUCCUUAAAAAACAAAACAAAGCAAAAACAACAAAACAACACACACACACACACACACACACACACACAAAACACAAGCAUGUGUUUAAUUUCUAUUGAUCCUCAUUUCAUAUGAAAGAGAAAUGUCACAAGCAGUACUUUAGUCAGUUGUUUGGAACUAAAGGUGACCUUUUACCUAAAAAGAAAAUCCUUGUGAGAGUUCAUCACUGUGGGCACUUAAAGAGCCAGCUCCCCUUGAGCUCGGAAUUAAUGCUGCCAGUCUCCAAUCCCCCAACAUUAUGAGGCUGACAUGAUAGUAUUUUUAAUGUGUUGAGUCCAGCCUUCUGCCUAAAGAAAAAAAAAGUCCAUACACUCCUGGAGGAUUCUCAACUCCUGGAGCUUGCCAAAGCUUUCUGCUAUCCAGGGACUUGGCACUUGCCAUUUCCCCUUCCUGGACAGCUCUUCCACUCACUGUAAAACUGGCCUACCCUCUUCCUUUGGUACUUGCAGUGAACGUAUUUUAAUCAGAGUGGCUUUCUCAAAUAUUGCUUAAAUGGAUCACCUGGCUUCUGCUUCUCAUUUUAGCAACAUGUUUAUCUCCUCCGUGAGUCUUACUACACUCAGAUAAUGUCAUACAUUUACUUGCUUCCCUGAUGCUUUUUUCUCCCAGCGACAAUGCUGUGGUGCUUUGAC